AUGGUGUGUAACCCUGGGCAAAUCACAACCUCUUUUUGUUCUCAGGCAAUUCUCUUAAGAGUUGAAGUUAUAGCUGAAUUUCUGAUCUGUAUUAGUAGAAGUUUUCACACUAGAAGUUCCUUGAUGAACUCAUGGGGACGUAUGUGGAUGGAGGAGGGAGGGAGAGAGAGAAAGAAAGAGAAAAAGAGACAGACAGAGGGAGAAAGAGAGAGACAGAGGGAAAGCAGGGGAGAGAGGGAGAGAAGAGAGGAGAGAGAAAGAGAGGGGGAGGGAAAAAGAGGAGAAGAAAGAGGGAAAGAGAAAAAAGAGGACAUUGGAGAGAGAGAGCACAUCUUUAAAUAAUUAGAAAUUUCUCUUGGUGCUAGGCAUUAGGUUCAUGGGCUCUGGGAAACUAUCUAAAAUAUCACUGCCUCAUAUUACAAGUGAGGCAACUGAGUGGCAGAGAAAAAAAAAAGUCUUUUCCAAAGGCCCUGGGUGAAGGUAGGGUUAGUUACAGGUAGUAAGUGGCUCAACAACCCAGGUCCUUCUUUAGCUCUUCCUUUUAUACCCAGGCCCUCUCCCCUGGCUUCUGGCUUUCUUGUCCUUUUCUCUGUCCUCCUCAGGCAUGGUCCUACCUUGUCAAAAAUCAUUGGCAGGGUAGAACAGCAGGAUCUAGUGAUUGAAAAGAGGGACAGUGAAGAUUUCACACUGGAGACUGGUGAGAUGGAAAGGAAGAGAAGCUUUGGGAAACCUGGCCUGACUUUUUUGCUGCUCAGAUCUGUAUUCUUCCCCAAAGAGAGCACAGUGACGGAGUCCCAACCUGAGCAGAGAAAAUGAUCCCUGCUUUCCACAAAUUUAUACCCUAAUGUCCAGCCCCAGCAACUUUUCUCUGCCAAGACCAUAGGAUUUAGGGACCUUAGGGACUCUCUAGUCCAAGGCUCUCAUUUUAUAAAGGAGGAAACAGGCCCCCAAACCAUAAAUUAGUCCUGGAAGGGAUCUUAGAUAUCGUUUAAUCCCAUCUCUGCCACCCCCUCCCAUUUCCCCAGAAAAGGAAACUGAGGCUUAGAGACUUGUGCAGAAUUGCACAGCUAGUGUCAGAGAUACGUUUGGACGAGUCUUUGGAUUUGAAUUUAGGUCCCCUGAAUCCAGAACCAAAUCUCUUUGGACACUACAUUGCCUCUAUUCCCACAAGCCUCCCCACCCCCCUGGAUUUUCUCACAGCCCCUAGUCCAACCUCCCCCCUCUCCCGCCCCAGCUCCCACCUCCACCCUCCCACCUCAUCCACCCACUCCCAUCCUGCCGCAUCCGUUGUUCCCCUCUCCUAGGCCCGGUGCACUUUGCGCGCUGCUCUAGGGCUGACGUU
rnacentral:lncRNA from 1 species